rnacentral:rRNA from 1 species
AUACGUAGGUGGCAAGCGUUGUCCGGAAUUAUUGGGCGUAAAGCGCGCGCAGGCGGUUCCUUAAGUCUGAUGUGAAAUCUCGCGGCUCAACCGCGAGCGGCCAUUGGAAACUGGGGAACUUGAGUGCAGGAGAGGGGAGCGGAAUUCCACGUGUAGCGGUGAAAUGCGUAGAGAUGUGGAGGAACACCAGUGGCGAAGGCGGCUCUCUGGCCUGUAACUGACGCUGAGGCGCGAAAGCGUGGGGAGCGAACAGGAUUAGAUACCCUGGUAGUCCACGCCGUAAACGAUGAGUGCUAAGUGUUAGAGGGUAUCCACCCUUUAGUGCUGCAGCAAACGCAUUAAGCACUCCGCCUGGGGAGUACGGCCGCAAGGCUGAA